rnacentral:lncRNA from 1 species
GGCAGGACCGGCGGCCCAGGGAGACCUACGAGUGCAGGCAGGGUUGGCACCCACCCCCUAGUGAGCUCCCCAGGCCUUGCCCCUUCCGUCCCCAGCCUGGCAGCCCUCCCUGGUACCAUACCCCAGCCGAUGAGUAUGUACCCCCAGAAGUACUUCCGCUCAGAGAAGAAGGAGACGGCCAGCAGGGUGUGCAGGUAGAGGCCCUCCACCAGCAGCCAGAAGAAGUUGGCCAUGAUACAGUACUGGAAUAAGACCAUGGCUGCCUUACAGCUCACCUGCAGGGGGAGGAACAGAAGGGGCUCACUGGGGUCCCCUGCCUGCCCACAUCUCCGUUUGGGGCAACAAACACAGGUGCAGCACGGCCAGCUUAAUCUCUUUGUUGUUCUUGCGUUGUCCCUUUCGAAAUGUACCCGGUGGUUUUCCCGUUAUCCCUGAUUUUAGAUCAUCGGAUAUUUGGGGUAAGUUUGCAGAUUUAACGAUCCAUCCAUCAAUUUAUCAUCUAUUCAUUUUCCUUCUAUAUGUCUAUCUACCCACCUACCCAUCCAACCAUCCAUCUGCCCACCUAUCCGUUUAUCUACCCACUAGGUGUUCUACCAGCUCACCCAUCUGUCUGUCCACCCACUGAUCAUUUAUUCAUCUUCCCGUCUAUCAGCCCACCCACGCACUCACCUACCUAUCUCUCCAUUCUUCUACCUAUCCACCUACUAGCCAUCCUCUACCAACCCACACACCUAACCAGCUAUCCAUCCAUUCAUCCAACCUCCUAUCUACUCAUCCACCCCUCUACCUGUCAUCUACCCAAUUUUUCCUACUUUACCCGUCUAUCCUUCCACCUGUACAGCCAUCCACGCAUCUAUUUACUCAGCAUCCGUCUACCUGCCCGUUCACUUAACCCCGCCCCCACCUACUCAUUCACCUUAUUUCAAUUAGGAUAGAAGGUAGCUAGAAGAGGUAUGAGGAGAAUUCUUGCUUGGGUUUGCAAGGGUUCCCUGAAUAUGUGGGGCUGUAGGCUAUGGGCUGUGGAGUGGGGCCCUGAUGGAAGUGUUGAGGAGAAGAGGCAAGAGGAGGCAGAGGUAGGGCAACUUGGGGCUCUGGGUGGCCCACCUGGCACAACUGGAGGACCUUCUCUGUCCUCUGUUCUCUCCCAGAAAGUUUUCCAUUUCAGAUCAAGCCCCAAUACCUGUGAGCCAGAACUUAAAGCCCUCCCCCCUCCGGGAAGCUCUCUAGAUUCCACUCCCUCCUUUCUGUGCCCUUGGCUUUGAGACAUCCUCAGUAGUCUGCUCUCCUCUUCCUGUGGCUGCAAGCUCCUUCAAGGUCCCACUUCAGUCCUUCCAGCUACAGGCGGGCCUGUGUCCCCCAUCCUCCCCCACUUGCCUUGCAACUAGAAUAGCUCAUCUCUUUAAUAGGACAGUUAUCUGUGCUUCUUGCCUUAGAAAAGCUUCGGAGAGCUGCUAAUGAAUCAGAAAGCCAGUCUCCACAAUUAUGCUUAACAAGUGUGCUGGAGGCUUCCUGGCUUCUCCGGGUCCAUGGCUCAUGGGCCCCAGCUCCUGGGUGGGAUCCUCUGAGGAGCUCUGGGAUUGUCCAGGGUGGCCGCCCUGCAUUUCCCUUCCUUCUUGUCUACAUGCCUAAGACUCCACCAUCAUAGGUCCAUUCUCUGAGGAGAAGGUAUUGCUGACGCCCAAAAUAAUGCACUGCCCCUGGGGUAGGUCCUCAUGAAGCAGAGUCACUGGCCACAGGAAUGGGUAGGAGCCAGGGCUGGUCUUGGGCUCUCUGUCUUAGCUCCGGGGCGCUCAGGGAGGGGGUCCUGAGCUCACAGUCAUUUGGAGAUGGACCCCUUAGUGACGGGCAAUUAAUUCCUUAGACACUGUCUUAACUUCCCUUCCUGAGGAAGGCCCAGAACGGACUGAUGGCAGGGGAAGAAGGGAAGAGAAGGGCUGUGUGUGUAUCUGGACCGAAUCCAGGUGGUGGUAGGGGUGGGGGAGUAGGAUGGAAGCUUGGAAGUCCUUGCAAGAUGGGGAAACUGAGGCAGGGAGUUCCCGAAGAUCCCUCUGGAAGUUAGCAACAGAGGAGGGACGGGGGACUGUGGACUCUGGCUAUGAAGUGUCGCAUUUCCCACCAAGGAGAGGCAUCUGUCACGGGCAGGGGCAGGUCUGUGAGCUCCCAGGUGGCUGAGCACCACUCCCUGUGGCUGGGAGGGGGGUGGGAUUCAAGGAGCCGCAGACGGGGUUGGGUAGGGGUUUGGCCAUUCUCGGGGAGGGAGAGGAGGAAGGAGAAGAGAGGAAGGGGGGAGAAGCAGCAGGUGGAGAGGCACUGAGAUUGGAGAAGGUAAAGGCGAAGAGGGAGAGGGAGGUGGGCCUGGGCGGGGUCCUCACCGAGCCCUUGGUGCAAUAGUCCACGUCCUCGCUGUUGAACAGGAUCAAGUCUUUGAUGAAGACAGCGGUGGCCCUCAGGAUGAAGGAUAUGAAGAGGUGCGUGUGGAUGUAGUUCCGCGUGCAGUGGAGCUUCCUGUGCAAGGCGGGCAGAGCUGGGAGGCUGAGGGGGCCUCGGACCCCCCACUCCAACCACGCUGUCCAGCACUCGGAGCAAGGGCAGGGCGGGGGAGCACAGGGCUUCCAAGGGCAGGCCGCGCCCCCGGGCACAACCCUGGCGCAGCCUGGCCUCCGAGUGCCUCAGCCUCCAGAGCCUGCCCUACCCUCUGGUGCCCCAUCUCCAGGUGCAGGGCCAUCCAUGGGGACUAGGCCGAGACAGGUGGAGCACUUUGGUGGUAGGGGGACAGGGCAGGGACUCCAUGCUGCCUGGGGGUGACAGGGAAGGGGCCAGAGCAUGACUGGGCCAGGCUGGGCUCGAGCACAGGAGCGACCCGGCUAGGUCUGCUCUGAGGCUUGUUGCUGCAGCUGGACCUCACCUGAACAGGCUCAAGAUGGCCGUAGCGACCAGAAGGGCAGCGAGGGACAGGCUGUGGCCGAUGGUGUAGAUGGUCUUCACAGAACUGUAGAACAUCGACUGCUGCUGCUAGAGGGAAGAGGGUGGCGGGGUUGGGGGUCUUAGGUGGGGGUGGGGUGGGCUCACCUAGGGGGUAUUGGCAGGGGUGGGUGCCUUACGCACCCUGCCUCCCAUCCCUGCCUUGGCAGAUGAAGAGACUCCAGGGUCCCAAGAGCAGCUGAGCCGCCCCCUCCGGUCCCCGGACCCCUGACACCCCUCCCCUGGGUUUCCACAGACGGGACAGGACUGCUUCCCAGGGCGGGGCGGGGGUUGACUUGAACCUCCUCUCUCUGCUCUUUCAUGAGGGAAAUGUCAGUGACGGAAAGAGCAAAGACCUCACGCGUUCCAUGUGCCCGUUUGUUCAUUCUGCAGUCAUGUGUUCAGCACCCCUUCCGUGCCAGCUUUGGGCACGGCCCCCCGGCGGCCCAACACUGUGCCCUUCAGACUCCACGUGAGGACCUCCCGCCAUGCAGCGAGAGAGCCACACAGGGAAUUAGAAUACUAAAGACGACACUGGGACAAUUUCCCUUCUGGGGCUCUCAGAGGCAGGGGUCAGCAGGAGGAGGGCAAUCUAGCCUUUCUGCAGGGGGACAGGACUAAUCUGGAAUCCAAAGGCUCCUGGCUGGCCCCUCCAGGAACCCUCCCUAGGGACACGUAUGCAGAUCCUUGGCCACUGGGUGAGUCCCUUGUUUCUCUCCACGUCCCACACCCUGCUGGAGAACAGGCAAGUGGUUAAGUGGGAUUUGGGGGAUUUAGAUCCUGCCUGGGGACCUGGUGGGCUUUGAAGGCCUCUGAAGAAGUUGCCCUUGUGGGAGGAGCAAAAGUUCUGAGAAGGGUGUCUGGGGGGUGGGACAAACGUCACAGCAGACGGACACACACACAUACCCACGACCCCACACCGAAGCAGUGAGGGGGCUCCUAGCCGAGGACUCCAGUUAUACUCUCGCUUCCCAUCAGUAUUCCCACGUGGCUCCGGGGCCCACAUCUGCACAGCAACCAUUCACGCUUCACCUGCUCCAGGGCAUAUGCCUGUCCUGGGACUGAGGACCACGGUCUUGUCCCUGUCCCUGUCCCUGACUGGCUGCUGAGGGUGUGCCCCUCAGUUUCCCCUCUGCAUGAGAUAGGAAGAUGAUAUCUGCCCUCCCUGCCCCUCUAGGGCUGGAGCAAGGCUUCCAUGAGUCAGCGGGGUGGCCCAGCCGGAGGGCCGAGUGCUGUUUCAGCUUUUGUCGCUGUGUGUCAUCCUCAUGAAAGUCCCCUUCCUGUUCCCUGUCAGGGACAGAGAGGGGGAUGAGCCCCUGGAAAUGCAGACCUGGCAAGGGAGGAGGCUUGGGGAAGGCAGACCCCACGAGUCCUGGCUUCGGCACAGACAGCAACCUCACUCCUUGCUGGGAGAGGGUGGAAGGAGCCUUGCAGGCCAAGGCACUGUGGGAGGGCAGGGGUGGACUGAGGCCCACCUCUUCCAAAUCUGAUGCCUUGUCAUUCAAGCCACAGGCAAUGGGGUAGGGGCCAGGUUCCAGGUGCGUCCAGCCCUCGUUGGUGCAGCUGCGGCUCACGUUGCGGCCUGGGUGGAGGGGAGAGGGGGAGAGGAGAGAGGUUGAGGCUGGGAGCAGCGUGAGUCCGUGGAGUAGGUAUGGGGCUGGGCUGUCUCUGAGCUCAGCCUUUCCCCGGCACCCCCAGUUGUAUCAGGCUCCAGCGGCCCUGACCCAGACUCCCAGGGAGCUGCCGGGGCACUUGGGGCAGGGAAAAGCUCUUCCAGGGCUUGGCAACACGAGUAACAGUCAGAGCAGACAUUCCUGGGCUCAGCUUUGCCCCUUGUCGUGUCUGAAACUGACCCCGGGUGAAGAUAAAUAAAGCGAUUUUUGUCACGGCCUGAAUUCUUGGUACAGAAUGACCCAUGACCCUUGUCACGAGCUAAAUGUUCACUCUUGUCACAGGGCCACAGGAGCCGGUGUGGCAGAUGGUUUCUUUGUCCUGUGGCUGGGCCGCGGGACUCCUCCUGGGUCAGCUCGCCUGGGCCGAUGGGCCUGAUUUCCUCCCACACCUGGUGUGGCUCAGAUGUGCUGCUGGAGAGGGACCAAAGGUGAGGCAGGAAGUGGGGGUGGAGGGCACCUGGUUAAGGGUGCAGGUCUGAAAUGCUCAUGAAUGGAGAAGCAGGGAGUCCUGGCAGGGAACCUGCCCGGGCAAAGGCAUGUGUGUGCAGGGAAUCGAGCAGCACAGCGCUACAGGAGCUUACGGCUGAACUUCACUGAGUUCUCCACUGUCCUUGGAGGCCCAAAGCUGUAGCGAAGGGACAGGGCUGAUGAGAGUGCCUGUGACCUGAGGGCUACCUUGAGGCUGCCCACUCUCUAGCCCUGGAGAGGAGUUGAAUAGAAAAUGGGUGAGCCAGGGGCGCCGGAAUGUCUCAGUCGGUUAAGCGUCCAACUGUUGAUUUUGGCUCAGGUCAUGAUUCCAGGGUUGUGAGUUUGAGCCCCGCAUCCGGCUCUGCGCUGACAGUGUGGAGUCUGUUUGGGUUUCUCUCCCUGUCCUGCUUGCUCUCUAGCUCUCUCUCAAAAUAAAUAAAUAAACUGAAAAAAGAAAAAAGAAGGAAAAUGGGUGAGCCAGAGAAGAUCCCCCUCCCUCUAUCCCAGGACUCAUUAAAGGGGCACUGGAGUCCGGGGUGAAAGCUGGCUUAUGGGGGAGGGGAAGGGGGAAAGAGGAGGAGAAGGAGGAGGAGGAAAGAGGGAGAGAGGAGGGUGGGGGUGGCAGGAGGAGAGAAGAGGCAGGAGCAGGAGGUGAAGGGAUGGAGGAAGAGGGAGGAGGAGGGAGAGCACAGUAGGGAAGGAGGUGAGGUGAAGCUGAGAAAGAAGAUGGGUCCUAACGUCCUUGCCCUAUAGCUCCUCCCUCACCAGCACCACAGCCACUGUCCCCAUCAUCACUGGUAUCGUCACUGUCACCAUCAUUAGUACCGCCACCAGCACCACCACGAUCGUCACCAUCACGGUCACCACCAUGGUCCCCAUCGCCACCACCAGCAGCAUCAGCAGCAGCAGCAGCAUCAGCUCCAUCACAAAGACAAGUUCGAGAACUCUUCAUUCAUCAGUACUGUACAGAGCAGUGUAGGCUCAGUGUCUCAGUCCCCUCCACCCUCCAGUGAGGAAGGGAAGCCCAGUUCACACUUGAGAAGUGAGGCUCCAAGUGGUUGGUCACUUGCCCAAGGCCACACGGAGAGAAGAGGGUAGAGCAGGUGUGACCCCCAGAGUCUUCUCAGCUGCCCCCUUGCCCCCGUCUGCACUGAAGGGACCUGGGGACUUGUGUCAGGUGUCCAGGUGCAGAGCUGUUGGAGACGUCGAGCUGUCCAGAGAGCUCGGUGGGGGGCGGGGGGGGGGGGGGGGGGGGUCCACCGUGCAUGUACAUCCACUAUUUCUAAACUUGGCUGUGUGCUUGGAAUAUACCAGGUGAUUCCCUGUCCGCUAUUUCUGUUAAUCCUCCUGGCUGCCAUUUGAAAGAGGUUCUUAGCACCCUACUUUAUGGCUGAGGAAUUGAGGGACAGCUGGGGGGCUGGGGACAGUCAGGGAGGACUAGCUGGGCCUGGGUCUCUUGCCACUGCGAGGUCCUGGAGGAAGCAGGAGGGACUUUGCUGAGGAAGAGGCACCGGUUCCUGAUUCGGCAGCCCUUUCCCACACAGGCCUCCCGAGCACACUGCUGCAGGAGGCUCCCAGCACGAGAGACAGGUCCUCCUGCUGGCCCUGCUCAGCUACUUAGCUUUCCCCCUUGUGGCCCAGGCAGGCUUCGGCCAGACCGUCAGUAAACCGCCGGCCUGCUUCCGCCCCAGAUCUAGGGAGCUCACCGUGGGCCCCUCCCAGGAUCCGAUUCUUGUGUGGACUUCCCCCACCAGCCUGGGGCAAGUAGAAAAAGGGGACAAGGUCAGAUCAGCCAGCCUUGAGGUUGGGACACUAAUGCCUCAAGUUUUGAGCUGCACUCUCACCAGAAGGACCAGGGCCCCAUGGGCCAGGCCCAUGACACAGCAGGCACCUGGUACCAUGAAUUAGGUGCCCCAUCUGUAUCUACACAGCAGCUUCUCAUGCCUCCUGUGGCGGGGGGGGAGGAGGCAACAAACAGUACUGUGUUAAAGCUAGUGAUUAGGAGCUAUUAUUAGUUCCACUCAAAGAGGGGGAUGCCAAGGCUGAGACAGGUGACCUGCCCAUGGUCACACAGCAAGGAAGCAGCAGGCUUGGGAUACAGACCUGGGUUAGCCUGACUGCAGCUUUCUGAACUUCCAGAGCGGCUGAAGGGCCACCCUGUCCCCUGGAACCCUGGCCGCCCUGGGUAUUGGGGGGGAAGGCAGGGGAUAGGGGGACAUCUUCAAGGUUGGGUGGCCUCUUUGAAGAGCCCUGGGACUGGGGCCCAGGUAUCAAAGGGAACUCUUCCUGAGGAGAUCUCAAAGGUGGCCACCAUGGGACCCCAAGACGCAGCCCAGUCCGGCCCUGGGAACCAGCAGAACUUGCGUGUGUAGAGGGUGAUAUGCAGGAAGGAGUCUCUUCCUGCUCACCAUGUCAUGAAAAGAAGUCACAGCCACCCCUCCACUCUUCCCUGGGCCCUCCAUGUGAAAAGCACGGCUCAGUGACUAGAGGUAGAAAUCGGGCAUUCGUUUCCUUCCCACCGCCCUCUUUCCACCCCCCGCCCCCCGCCACCUCACCUCAGCCACGAGUCCUGCCCCAGCCUCCCUUCCUCACCACCACCACCACCACCUUAUCUCCCCGGAAUUAGGUAGGAGCCUUCUGAUGGCUCUCCCUGCUUUCCUGUCCCCGCUAACCCACUCCCAACCCGAGAGAGUUGGAGAGAUUGUUCUAAAUCCUCUAUGUGACCGUGGUGCUCUCCUGCUAAAAUCCUGUCAGUGGUAUCCUGUCCCAGUCAACCGGGGCAAACGUCUUAGGUUGGCAUCACAACCCUCUUAUCUAUGGCUUCACAGUGCAGGUGGUGAGGUGGGGAGAGGAGGUGUCCCUUAGACCCCAGAGACACAGUUAGCAGCCUGUGUUGAAUUUUCUCAACCAAAUUAGCGAUCCUAGUUUUCACUCUUAAAAAAUGUCUUUUCAAAUAUUUAAAGGUAAAAACACCACAGACGAAAGACAUACAGACCACGAAUUAAAGGAUCAGGUCCCCACAAACGUUUUGGUCCCUGGAUGAGCAAUCCCUUGCCUGGCCGGCACUCCUCCCCCGGGAUGUUUACCCAGCCCGGGAGAUGACUUCUUUCUAACUCUACAGUCUUUAUUCUCUUCAGGUGUCCUCAGCCUUCCCUGUAGAACUAGGUCCCUUCCAACCCUUCCAGGGAGGACACUCCUUCCUCAGUCCUGUCACCCAAAGGGACUAGAGUUAGGGAUGGUAUUAUUCCUGCUUCACAUUUGCCUUUCUCUCGAAAUUCCCUCUUUGGAGUUUAAGGUCACUGGCUUACACCUUCUUCCCAGGAAAACACACCUCUUUCCCUUACAUUUUCAGCCUCUAACUUAGUCUCCUGUUUCUCUCCAUCAUUUUCAGAGGCUAAGGCACCAAGUACAGCUGUGCAGGUUGUUCACUGCACAGGGGCAUCUGGCUGAUAAAUGGUGGGGGCUGCAAUCUAUUUCAUAUUCAACUUGUCAUUAGGUGGCUUCUGGUGACAGGCUGACUCUGCCUGAGGAAGGGCUACCUUUUCCUCAUCUGCACCAAGGCACCAUGUGGGCCCCAUGGAGGCUGGCAGCCUCAGGGUUAGCCAGAUGGUGGGCUGCGGUCCAGAUUCUUAUGUGAAGUUGCUGCCUUGAUAACUCCAGCAGGGACAGAAGGAAAUGCCAUCGGGAGGAAUGCAAUUAGCAGAGAGUCAGGGAGGAACACAAGGAGCAGGCACUUCCAGGGAAUCUGAGAGAAGGCUGGUUGCAGGCUCUGCCGAUUGGACACCCGAGAGCUGCCGGAGGAGCUCCUCGCCUAGCCACCCAGGUGCCGGGUUCCGCUGGAGAGCUGGGCUAGGUGGGGGCUGGCCUGGAAUACGGCACAUCUGUGGCUGUUCCCAGACUCCCCAGGGAGGGCACUGACAUCUCUCGUUCACUGACUGCCGAGGUCACAACACGGAGCCCUGGGGGGAGAAACCAGCCUGCCCCAAAGAGUCCCUCUGGCCCACCUCCUGUCCCCAUUUUACAAACAGGGAAACAGGUCCAGAGAGGGAAAGGCCACCUGAAGUAAGAGAUGCCCAAGAGUCUUUCUGCUCAGUCUCUGAAUUCUUUAAAAGAAUUUUUUAAUGUUUAUUUAAGAGAGAGAGAGAGAGAGAGAGGAGACAGAGCACGAGGAGGGGAGGGGCAGAGAGAGAGGGGGAGAGAGAAUCCCAAGCAGGCUCCAGCUGUCAGCACAGAGCCCAACGUAGGGCUCGAUCUCACAAACUGUGAGAUCAUGACCUGAGCUGAAAUCAAGAGCUGGAGGCUUAACAAACUGAGCCGCCCAGGCGCCCCCUCUGAAUUCUACUCUGGGUCCUGCUCUUCAUUAAUGCUUCCCCCUCCAGACCUGCUCCUCCCUCGGGUCCUCCCCCUCUGGACUUGCUCCUCCAAAGGAUCCUCCCCACUCCAGACCUGCUCCUCCCUGGGAUCCUCCCCACUCUGGACUGGCUCCUCCCUGGGAUCCUCUCCACUCCGGACCUGCUCCUCCCUGGGAUCCUCCCCACUNNNNNNNNNNNNNNNNNNNNNNNNNNNNNNNNNNNNNNNNNNNNNNNNNNNNNNNNNNNNNNNNNNNNNNNNNNNNNNNNNNNNNNNNNNNNNNNNNNNNNNNNNNNNNNNNNNNNNNNNNNNNNNNNNNNNNNNNNNNNNNNNNNNNNNNNNNNNNNNNNNNNNNNNNNNNNNNNNNNNNNNNNNNNNNNNNNNNNNNNNNNNNNNNNNNNNNNNNNNNNNNNNNNNNNNNNNNNNNNNNNNNNNNNNNNNNNNNNNNNNNNNNNNNNNNNNNNNNNNNNNNNNNNNNNNNNNNNNNNNNNNNNNNNNNNNNNNNNNNNNNNNNNNNNNNNNNNACCUGCUCCUCCCUGGGAUCCUCCCCACUCCGGACCUGCUCCUCCCUGGGAUCCUCCCCACUCCAGACCUGCUCCUCCCUUAGUCUUCUUUUUUUUUUUUUUUCUCCCUUAGUCCUUGGUGAGUGUCUCAGCUCAUCAAACUUAAACCCCAGAGGGGCAUGCUGGAUCUCUCCCUCCCCGCCAUGAGCCUGGCACACCCUUCAUGGGCAAGUUUCCCACUUCUCUCCUCUGCCACCCACACUCUAAGUCCGAACGAUUACCACUUUUCAGCUGCCCUGUGAAUGGGUCUUCCCAUUGCACUACCAGAAUCCCUCCUUCUCAUGAAAAAUCUGAAUUACUGGUUGAAAACCUCAACCUAAAUUGGACUAUGUCAGUUACUGGCUUCAGGCCUUCAGUGGCUUCUCAGUGAACUUAGGAAAAAAUCCCAAGUCCUCAGUCAGUGCUCAGGGCCAGCACGGUCUGGCCUCUGCCACCUGUCUCUUUCCUCUCCUCCCUCCCCUGAGCUCUCUCUGCUCCAGCCGCCCUGGCCUCCACUGCAUUGCCUUAGUGCCCAUCCCGCAGGCUGCUGAUUCUGCCUCUCAAUGAUCCCCCAGCCCAGGAUCUUUCCGGCCUCCGGGUCCUCAGACAGAAGCUGCAGUGGCACCCCCUCGGCGAGCCCGUCCAUCCGUGAACACCUGCCUUAAUGUUGUGCCUUACCCCCUUCUCCCUCCUGGCACUUCUUACCAUUUAUGACACGUGUUUGUUCUCUUGCUAAAUGUCUCUUCAACUAGAACGUUAGGUCCCUGUGGGCAGAGAGCAUGGCUGUUUUCAUGCUGUGUUUGUCUAGCCCAUGCUUGUCAUGCUAGUAGAUGUUUAAUAAAUAUUCACUGAAGAAAGAAUGGCUGAAUAUAUGCAGGAAAGGUUCUUUGGUUAAUCAGUAACAAGAAAGCCCAGUUCCUAAAGAGGCCCCUCUUCUUUUCUGCCUUCUAUGGGAACAUUCAUUUAAAAAUAUGAUAAGGUGUGGGGCACCUGGGUGGCUCAUUCGGUUAAGUGUCAGACUCUUGAUUUCAGCUCAGGUCAUGGUCUCACAGUUGUGGGAUCGAGCUCUGUGUCAGGCCCUGUGCUGACAGCACAGAGCCUGCUUGGGAUUGUCUCUUCCUUUCUCUGCCCCUCCCCUGCUCACGUUCGCUGUCUCUCAAAAUAAAAACAAACAAAUAAACAAACAAACAAACAUGACAAGGUGUGUAAGCAAAGCCCAAAAGGUCAUCGGCUCCAGCCAGUGAAAGACUGAAUCAUGACCAGCCCAAGACAACGGGGAACAUGGGAGCCAUAAUUAGUCCUGUAUCUGUCAGUCAAUUGGUUAUCAACUGCUGAGCAAAUAUUUAGCGAGCCCUUCCCGCGUGUUUAUCUUUUACGUGAAGAGCUAAUCAAAUUCCACGAAUCCUUCAAAGACCUAGUUCUGGCACAUCCUCUUCCACAAAGCUCCUCCCGCACCCCCAAUUGCUCACCCCCUUGACCCCUUCCCGUUUGCCUUCUCACUUCCUUGACAGGUGAGUACCCCCUCCAGCUGGCACCACUUGUACUGCCCUGGCUCCCUUGCUUCCACCCAAGGCUCUUACCUUGAACUGGAGAGAAGAACUUAUAAAUGAGGGGGCAGUCCAAGACGACCACCUGGCCCGGAGGGGUGGCUGGCCAGCAGGUGAGG